rnacentral:sRNA from 2 species
UGCCUCUGAUCGCCGGGAUUCGAACCUUUUAGGCAAGGACGGGGGAACCAUUUUUGACCGGUCCGCAACCGGUCUUGGGGUUAAGUCUUGAGAUUUUAAUGCUGCUCUAGGAAGCCGCAUUUUUUCGAAAGCCGGGUCGCUCUCCGAUCCGAAUCCGACAGCUAACCUCGCAGGUGCUUGAGAGAGGAAUC